rnacentral:rRNA from 1 species
AGAGUUUGAUCCUGGCUCAGAGUGAACGCUGGCGGCAGGCCUAACACAUGCAAGUCGAACGGCAGCACGGUAAGAGCUUGCUCUUAUGGGUGGCGAGUGGCGGACGGGUGAGGAAUACAUCGGAAUCUACUCUUUCGUGGGGGAUAACGUAGGGAAACUUACGCUAAUACCGCAUACGACCCACGGGUGAAAGCGGAGGACCUUCGGGCUUCGCGCGAUUGAAUGAGCCGAUGUCGGAUUAGCUAGUUGGCGGGGUAAAGGCCCACCAAGGCGACGAUCCGUAGCUGGUCUGAGAGGAUGAUCAGCCACACUGGAACUGAGACACGGUCCAGACUCCUACGGGAGGCAGCAGUGGGGAAUAUUGGACAAUGGGCGCAAGCCUGAUCCAGCCAUGCCGCGUGGGUGAAGAAGGCCUUCGGGUUGUAAAGCCCUUUUGUUGGGAAAGAAAAGCAGUCGGUUAAUACCCGAUUGUUCUGACGGUACCCAAAGAAUAAGCACCGGCUAACUUCGUGCCAGCAGCCGCGGUAAUACGAAGGGUGCAAGCGUUACUCGGAAUUACUGGGCGUAAAGCGUGCGUAGGUGGUGGUUUAAGUCUGUUGUGAAAGCCCUGGGCUCAACCUGGGAAUUGCAGUGGAUACUGGGUCACUAGAGUGUGGUAGAGGGUAGCGGAAUUCCCGGUGUAGCAGUGAAAUGCGUAGAGAUCGGGAGGAACAUCCGUGGCGAAGGCGGCUACCUGGACCAACACUGACACUGAGGCACGAAAGCGUGGGGAGCAAACAGGAUUAGAUACCCUGGUAGUCCACGCCCUAAACGAUGCGAACUGGAUGUUGGGUGCAAUUUGGCACGCAGUAUCGAAGCUAACGCGUUAAGUUCGCCGCCUGGGGAGUACGGUCGCAAGACUGAAACUCAAAGGAAUUGACGGGGGCCCGCACAAGCGGUGGAGUAUGUGGUUUAAUUCGAUGCAACGCGAAGAACCUUACCUGGUCUUGACAUCCACGGAACUUUCCAGAGAUGGAUUGGUGCCUUCGGGAACCGUGAGACAGGUGCUGCAUGGCUGUCGUCAGCUCGU